ACCAGAAAAUAUUAAACUGAUUCUUGCUGCACCAGUCGAAGAAAUAUCCAAAGUAGAUGUACAAAACAAUAUCAAAUUGGCUGUCACACUGAAAUACGUCAAACGUUCACACAAUUCGGUCAUCAGAAUACAUCCAACUAUGAACAGUUUAUUCCGUGUAAAAUAAGGUCUUUGCCCGAAGGAACCGUAUCCAGUUGAGUUAGGAUUUGCUUCACCAUUAUCUUCAGUACCUGACAACAACGGUUCUGUGGCAUUAUUUUGUACGGUGGAAGACAUUCUUCUUUUAUCAGAUGUGUUGUCCAUCCAUCAACAACAAAUGGACCAGAUUUUCCAAUGUAAUAGCUUAUGGUUUUAGGAAUAUUGUUAUCACAUUGUAUGAUUAAAGUCAUAUGUCAUCGGUUAACAUAUCAAUAAAAAUAGAUUGAUGAAAUCGAGUUUCCUUGUUUCAGUUAAAUGUUCUAAGUUUC
rnacentral:lncRNA from 1 species